rnacentral:rRNA from 1 species
GACGUAGGGCGCGAGCGUUGUCCGGAUUUAUUGGGCGUAAAGAGCUCGUAGGCGGCUCAUUGCGUCAACCGUGAAAACUUGUGGCUCAACUACAAGCUUGCGGUUGAUACGGGUGGGCUGGAGUUCGGUAGGGGAGACUGGAAUUCCUGGUGUAGCGGUGAAAUGCGCAGAUAUCAGGAGGAACACCGAUGGCGAAGGCAGGUCUCUGGGCCACUACUGACGCUGAGAAGCGAAAGCAUGGGGAGCGAACAGG